UGGGGAAUUUUGGACAAUGGGCGCAAGCCUGAUCCGGCCAUGCCGCGUGUCUGAAGAAGGCCUUCGGGUUGUAAAGGACUUUUGUCAGGGAAGAAAAGGCUGUUGCUAAUAUCAGCGGCUGAUGACGGUACCUGAAGAAUAAGCACCGGCUAACUACGUGCCAGCAGCCGCGGUAAUACGUAGGGUGCAAGCGUUAAUCGGAAUUACUGGGCGUAAAGCGAGCGCAGACGGUUACUUAAGCAGGAUGUGAAAUCCCCGGGCUCAACCUGGGAACUGCGUUCUGAACUGGGUGACUAGAGUGUGUCAGAGGGAGGUAGAAUUCCACGUGUAGCAGUGAAAUGCGUAGAGAUGUGGAGGAAUACCGAUGGCGAAGGCAGCCUCCUGGGAUAACACUGACGUUCAUGCUCGAAAGCGUGGGUAGCAAACAGGAUUAGAUACCCUGGUAGUCCACGCCCUAAACGAUGUCAAUUAGCUGUUGGGCAACUUGAUUGUUCAGUAGCGUAGCUAACGCGUGAAAUUGACCGCCUGGGGAGUACGGUCGCAAGAUUA
rnacentral:rRNA from 1 species